rnacentral:rRNA from 1 species
AAACCUAAAUGAUUUGACAGUGAUUAUUUCAUAGAUGGGUAUGUAAUUAAAUCGAUACCACACGAAUUAUCUCACUUACAUUUAUCUUGUAUACCUCCGUUUAGAUUUUGUUUAUAAUAAAUUUAAUUAUCAAAAUAAAUAUAUUAAUAUAUCAGGUCAAGGUGCAGUUUAUAUAAGUUAUUAUGUACCACAUUAAACAAUAAUUAGUGGAUUUAAUUUGAAAAAAUUAAUUAAAAUGAAUUUAUAAGUAAGAAAAAGUAAAAUAUUUUCCUGAAAUACAAAUAAUCAUGUACACAU